rnacentral:rRNA from 1 species
GACGAACGCUGGCGGCGCGCCUAAUACAUGCAAGUAGAACGCUGAAGAGAGGAGCUUGCUCUUCUUGGAUGAGUUGCGAACGGGUGAGUAACGCGUAGGUAACCUGCCUUGUAGCGGGGGAUAACUAUUGGAAACGAUAGCUAAUACCGCAUAACAAUGGAUGACACAUGUCAUUUAUUUGAAAGGGGCAAUUGCUCCACUACAAGAUGGACCUGCGUUGUAUUAGCUAGUAGGUGAGGUAACGGCUCACCUAGGCGACGAUACAUAGCCGACCUGAGAGGGUGAUCGGCCACACUGGGACUGAGACACGGCCCAGACUCCUACGGGAGGCAGCAGUAGGGAAUCUUCGGCAGUGGGGGCAACCCUGACCGAGCAACGCCGCGUGAGUGAAGAAGGUUUUCGGAUCGUAAAGCUCUGUUGUAAGUCAAGAACGAGUGUGAGAGUGGAAAGUUCACACUGUGACGGUAGCUUACCAGAAAGGGACGGCUAA